rfam:Ananas comosus cultivar MD2 ACMD2_Scaffold_1781, whole genome shotgun sequence.
GUAUUUGCAGGUGUGGCAUCAUCAAGAUUCACAUGGAGUGCUUCAGCUCAUCAGCUGCAACCUGAUUAAUUACUAUGAUGGAAACAUGCAUGAGAAUCUUGAUGAUGCUGCAUCAGCAAUGAG